AUAAUGACUCUCGGCAACGGAUAUCUCGGCUCUCGCAUCGAUGAAGAACGUAGCGAAAUGCGAUACUUGGUGUGAAUUGCAGAAUCCCGUGAACCAUCGAGUCUUUGAACGCAAGUUGCGCCCCAAGCCUUUAGGCCGAGGGCACGCCUGCCUGGGUGUCACG
rnacentral:rRNA from 1 species